rnacentral:rRNA from 1 species
CCUGAUGCAGCCAUGCCGCGUGUGUGAAGAAGGCCUUCGGGUUGUAAAGCACUUUCAGUCGUGAGGAAGGCAUAUGCGUUAAUAGCGCAUGUGUUUGACGUUAGCGACAGAAGAAGCACCGGCUAACUCCGUGCCAGCAGCCGCGGUAAUACGGAGGGUGCGAGCGUUAAUCGGAAUUACUGGGCGUAAAGCGCAUGCAGGCGGCUUGUUAAGCCAGAUGUGAAAGCCCGGGGCUCAACCUCGGAAUAGCAUUUGGAACUGGCAGGCUAGAGUCUUGUAGAGGGGGGUAGAAUUUCAGGUGUAGCGGUGAAAUGCGUAGAGAUCUGAAGGAAUACCGGUGGCGAAGGCGGCCCCCUGGACAAAGACUGACGCUCAGAUGCGAAAGCGUGGGGAGCAAACAGGAUUAGAUACCCUGGUAGUCCACGCCGUAAACGAUGUCUACUUGGAGGUUGGUGUCUUGAACACUGGCUUUCGGAGCUAACGCGUUAAGUAGACCGCCUGGG